rnacentral:rRNA from 1 species
GACGAACGCUGGCGGCGUGCUUAACACAUGCAAGUCGAGCGGCGCGGCGAAUGGGUGAGUAACGCGUGAGUAACUGCCCCCCUCUCUGGGAUAACAGUUGGAAACGGCUGCUAAUACCGGAUAGUGGGGGUUGAGUCGCGUCCUAUCAGCUUGUUGGUGGGGUAGUGGCCUACCAAGGCGACGACGGGUAGCCGGCCUGAGAGGGCGACCGGCCACAUUGGGCUGAGAUAGGGCCCAAAGGCCUACGGGAGGCAGCAGUGGAGAACAUUGCAAAAUGGGGGAAACGAUGAUGCAGCAACGCGCGUGCGGGAUGACGGCCUUCGGGUUGUAAAGCGCUUUCGGCCAUGACGCGGUAGUGGCAGAAGAAGCACCGGCUAACUACGUGCCAGCAGCCGCGGUAAUAC